CCUACGGGAGGCAGCAGUAGGGAAUCUUCCACAAUGGGCGAAAGCCUGAUGGAGCAACGCCGCGUGGGUGAAGAAGGUCUUCGGAUCGUAAAACCCUGUUGUUAGAGAAGAAAGUGCGUGAGAGUAACUGUUCACGUUUCGACGGUAUCUAACCAGAAAGCCACGGCUCACUACGUGCCAGCAGCCGCGGUAAUACGUAGGUGGCAAGCGUUAUCCGGAGUUAUUGGGCGUAAAGGGAACGCAGGCGGUCUUUUAAGUCUGAUGUGAAAGCCUUCGGCUUAACCGGAGUAGUGCAUUGGAAACUGGGGGACUGGAGUGCAGAAGAGGAGAGUGGAACUCCAGGUGUAGCGGUGAAAUGCGUAGAUAUAUGGAAGAACACCAGUGGCGAAAGCGGCUCUCUGGUCUGUAACUGACGCUGAGGUUCGAAAGCGUGGGUAGCAAACAGGAUUAGAUACCCGAGUAGUC
rnacentral:rRNA from 1 species